rnacentral:miRNA from 1 species
UUGGUUGCUGUAGAUUAAGUAG